UCAUCAAACAAUUCACUUCCUCAGCAAUGCCAAAUCACACUCCCUCAAUUCUCAAGCCUAUGCAAACCUUCCUUCGCACGAAAUCCUUUUUUCUGAUAAGUGAAUACAACCUCAAGAUCGCCAACAAUCCAUCUCAACUGGAGCUGCAGCAAUUUGCAACCAUCUUCCCACUUUGUUCUUUCACCCUUGCUCGAAGAAUUUUCGUGUUCGAUUACCACACAUCCUGCUUCAAAACCCAGUUCAAUCAGGAAAGUUGCUUCUCAUUUUGGAAGGCUGAAGGACACCGACUUAGCCCCAAGUGAAGAUAAAAAAAGAACAGAAAGUCUAAAGCUACGAUUGGAACUAGUGCUGCAACUGUGAGGGAAUCAGGUGGAGAGAUCAUCUCAUCCGGUUAAGAUUUCUAUAUGUCCUACACUCGGGACUGAACAACUCAGACCUGAAUGCAUCUCCGGAGGCCACGAAAAGCUCAACAACUCCAUAGCAGGAUAAACGGGGCAUUGACAGUAUGGUCAUGGGGGCGAAUUCCUGGAGCAUCAUCCCUUCGGAAGCAUGGGCUUAGUUGGUUGUCACAUAACUCGGCUCUGUUCAACCCAUGCACCGCACACGACUGCAUC
rnacentral:lncRNA from 1 species